rnacentral:sRNA from 2 species
AUAAAAUGGGUAUAAGAAAACGACCUUUUGAAUGGUUAUUUCUUAUACAUGAUUUCCUCACACUCAAAGUUUGGCGAUGGCGAGUGUGGGGAUUUUUUUAUUUACGA